rnacentral:rRNA from 1 species
GACAGAGGUGCCGAGCGUUAGGCGGAAUCACUGGGCUUAAAGGGCGCGUAGGCGGGUGUGCAAGUCUGUGGUGAAAGCCUCCAGCUUAACUGGAGAAGUGCCGUGGAUACUGCGCAUCUUGAGGAGGGUAGGGGCAUCUGGAACGGUCGGUGGAGCGGUGAAAUGCGUUGAUAUCGGAAGGAACGCCGGUGGCGAAAGCGGUCCGCUGGCCCUCUACUGACGCUGAGGCGCGAAAGCCAGGGGAGCAAACGGG